rnacentral:rRNA from 1 species
GACGGGGACCCGCACAAGCGGUGGAUUAUGUGGAUUAAUUCGAUGCAACGCGAAAAACCUUACCUACCCUUGACAUGUACGGAGCCUCGCAGAGAUGUGAGGGUGCCCGAAAGGGAGCCGUAACACAGGUGCUGCAUGGCUGUCGUCAGCUCGUGUCGUGAGAUGUUGGGUUAAGUCCCGCAACGAGCGCAACCCUUGCCAUUAGUUGCUACAUUCAGUUGGGCACUCUAAUGGGACUGCCGGUGACAAACCGGAGGAAGGUGGGGAUGACGUCAAGUCCUCAUGGCCCUUAUGGGUAGGGCUUCACACGUAAUACAAUGGCAGGUACAGAGGGACGCCAACCCGCGAGGGGGGGCCAAUCCCAGAAAGCCUGUCGUAGUCCGGAUUGUAGUCUGCAACUCGACUACAUGAAGCUGGAAUCGCUAGUAAUCGCGGAUCAGCAUGUCGCGGUGAAUACGUUCCCGGGUCUU